rnacentral:rRNA from 1 species
AUGGCGCUAUCUCGCGCCGGACAGCUGCGACGAGGACAUGUACGACGGCCACCCGCUCAUCGUCGUCAUCGUCGUCUCCGACCGGGUGCGAUCGCCCACCAUCGCCUGCUUCAUGACGUCGCCCUCGGAGGGCCCGGCGAACCCCCGGCCGUACAGCCGGAGGAACCCGAGCGCCUGCGCGCGCGGCUCGCCCAGCUCCAUGGUGCCCUCCAGCAUGCCGGCCACCACCGCCAUGCUCGGCCGCGUGUGCGGGUCCUCGUGCAGGCAGCACAGCGCCACCUUCACCAUCCUCUCCACCUCCUUGCCCACCACCCGCCCCUCCAGCCGCGGGUCCGCCAGCUCCGCGUACCGCCCGCCCUCGUGCCCCUCCAGCGCCACCAGCGGGAAGUAGUCGUUCCUCCCGCCGCGCGACGAGCCGCCCGCCGUGCCGUUCGAGGAGUUGGAGUCCUCGCCGCCGACGCCGGCGCCGUCGCUCACGUGCUCGCUGCGGUUCUUGCGGCCGUGCACCAGCUCCAGGAGCACCAUGCCGAAGCCGUACACGUCGGUGCGGUCCGUGAUGGCCGUGUUGGUCAGCCACUCCGGCGCCAGGUACCCGCGCGUGCCCCGCAUCGUCGUGAACAGCCCGGACUGCUCCGGCGUGAGGAACUUGGCGAGCCCGAAGUCGGCGAUCUUCACCUGCCCGCCGUCGGCGAGCAGGAUGUUCUCCGGCUUCACGUCGCAGUGGAUGAUCCUCUGGUUGCACCCGAAGUGGAGGUAGGCGAGCCCCCUCGCCGCGCCGAUGGCGAUGUCCACCCGCUCCUUCCACUCGAGCAGAGGGCCCGCCGGCCGGAACAGGGGCCGGUCGAGGGAGCCGCGGUUCAUGUACUCGUACACCAGCAGGCGCCGGUGGCCCUCGGUGCAGAAUCCCCGGAGGCGGACCAGGUUCACGUGGUGGAUGUUGCCGAUCACGGCGAUCUCCGUCAUGAACUCGCGCUUCCCCUGCGUCCCGACGCCUUCGAUCUUCUUCACGGCCACCAGCGAUCCGUCCGGGAGUUCGCCCUUGUACACGGCCCCGAACCCGCCGGCGCCGAUCUUGGUGCGGUAGCUGUUGGUCAUGGCCUCGAUCUCGUCGUGCGUGAACCUGGUGGGGAGGCCGGGGAUGACGAUGUCGUCGUCGCCGUCGUCGUCGUUGUCCAGAUCGCGCACGAGGUGCGCCGAGGCUGA